CCUACGGGAGGCUGCAGUGGGGAAUAUUGGGCAAUGGGCGCAAGCCUGACCCAGCAACGCCGCGUGAAGGAAGAAGGCUUUCGGGUUGUAAAAUUCUUUUCUCAGGGACGAAGAAAGUGACGGUACCUGAGGAAUAAGCCACGGCUAACUACGUGCCAGCAGCCGCGGUAAUAUGUAGGGGGCAAGGGUUAUCCGGAUUUACUGGGUGUAAAGGGCGUGUAGGAGGGAAAGCAAGUCAGAUGUGAAAACCAUGGGCUCAACCGGUGGCGCGCAUUUGAAACUGUUUUUCUUGAGUGCUGGAGAGGCAGACGGAAUUCCUCGUGUAGCGGUGAAAUGCGUAGAUAUGCGGAGGAACACCAGUGGCGAAGGCGGUCUGCUGGACAGCAACUGACGCUGAGGCGCGAAAGCGUGGGGAGCAAACAGGAUUAGAUCCCCUGGUAGU
rnacentral:rRNA from 1 species